rnacentral:rRNA from 1 species
GAGUUUGAUCCUGGCUCAGAGUGAACGCUGGCGGCGUGCCUAAUACAUGCAAGUCGAAAGGAGAUUAAAGUAAGCUUGCUUAUUUUUAAUCUUAGUGGCGCACGGGUGAGUAAUGUAUAGCUAAUCUGCCCUACACUAGAGGACAACAGUUGGAAACGACUGCUAAUACUCUAUACUCCUUCUUUACAUAAGUUAAGUCGGGAAAGUUUUUCGGUGUAGGAUGAGGCUAUAUCGUAUCAGCUAGUUGGUGAGGUAAUGGCUCACCAAGGCUAUGACGCGUAACUGGUCUGAGAGGAUGAUCAGUCACACUGGAACUGAGACACGGUCCAGACUCCUACGGGAGGCAGCAGUAGGGAAUAUUGCUCAAUGGGGGAAACCCUGAAGCAGCAACGCCGCGUGGAGGAUGACACUUUUCGGAGCGUAAACUCCUUUUCUUGGGAAAGAAUUAUGACGGUACCCAAGGAAUAAGCACCGGCUAACUCCGUGCCAGCAGCCGCGGUAAUACGGAGGGUGCAAGCGUUACUCGGAAUCACUGGGCGUAAAGGACGCGUAGGCGGAUUAUCAAGUCUUGAGUGAAAUCUAACGGCUUAACCGCUAAACUGCUUGGGAAACUGAUAAUCUAGAGUAAGGGAGAGGCAGAUGGAAUUCUUGGUGUAGGGGUAAAAUCCGUAGAGAUCAAGAAGAAUACCCAUUGCGAAGGCGAUCUGCUGGAACUUAACUGACGCUAAUGCGUGAAAGCGUGGGGAGCAAACAGGAUUAGAUACCCUGGUAGUCCACGCCCUAAACGAUGUAUACUAGUUGUUGCCAAGCUAGUCUUGGCAGUAAUGCACCUAACGGAUUAAGUAUACCGCCUGGGGAGUACGGUCGCAAGAUUAAAACUCAAAGGAAUAGACGGGGACCCGCACAAGCGGUGGAGCAUGUGGUUUAAUUCGAAGAUACGCGAAGAACCUUACCCGGACUUGAUAUCUAACAAAUCAUCUAGAGAUAGAAGAGUGUCUGCUUGCAGAAAUGUUAAGACAGGUGCUGCACGGCUGUCGUCAGCUCGUGUCGUGAGAUGUUGGGUUAAGUCCCGCAACGAGCGCAACCCACGUAUUUAGUUGCUAACGGUUAGGCCGAGCACUCUAAAUAGACUGCCUUCGUAAGGAGGAGGAAGGUGUGGACGACGUCAAGUCAUCAUGGCCCUUAUGUCCGGGGCGACACACGUGCUACAAUGGCAUAUACAAUGAGACGCAAUAUCGCGAGAUGGAGCAAAUCUAUAAAAUAUGUCCCAGUUCGGAUUGGAGUCUGCAACUCGACUCCAUGAAGCCGGAAUCGCUAGUAAUCGUAGAUCAGCCAUGCUACGGUGAAUACGUUCCCGGGUCUUGUACUCACCGCCCGUCACACCAUGGGAGUUGAUUUCACUCGAAGCCCAAAUACCAAACCGGUUAUGGUCCACAGUGGAAUCAGCGACUGGGGUGAAGUCGUAACAAGGUAACCGUAGGAGAACCUGCGGUUGGAUCACCUCCUU